rnacentral:rRNA from 1 species
AUUGAACGCUGGCGGCAUGCCUUACACAUGCAAGUCGAACGGUAACAGGUCUUCGGAUGCUGACGAGUGGCGAACGGGUGAGUAAUACAUCGGAACGUGCCCGAGAGUGGGGGAUAACGAGGCGAAAGCUUUGCUAAUACCGCAUACGAUCUCAGGAUGAAAGCAGGGGACCGCAAGGCCUUGCGCUCACGGAGCGGCCGAUGGCAGAUUAGGUAGUUGGUGGGAUAAAAGCUUACCAAGCCGACGAUCUGUAGCUGGUCUGAGAGGACGACCAGCCACACUGGGACUGAGACGCGGCCCAGACUCCUACGGGAGGCAGCAGUGGGGAAUUUUGGACAAUGGGCGCAAGCCUGAUCCAGCCAUGCCGCGUGCAGGAUGAGGGCCUUCGGGUUGUAAACUGCUUUUGUACGGAACGAAACGGCCCUUUCUAAUACAGGGGGCUAAUGACGGUACCGUAAGAAUAAGCACCGGCUAACUACGUGCCAGCCGCCGCGGUAACAC